GAUGGCAGCAGGAGGGUUGCUGUCACGGUAAUUUCCUCAAUCAAGCCCAAGGAACGAGCUCUUUCAAUGUCAUGCUCAAUAGAUCUAGCAAAGACAAGAAGAAGUGCAUUCUGUGCAGGAGAGUGGGAUGAUUCAAGGUUCUCCAAUGCAGAAACAGUAACUAGACGGUCGUUGGAGUUGGUUAUAGGAGGAGCAAGGAUGAUAGAAGCACCAGUUUGAUUUUGCAGAGCUCUGACUACAGACCCUCCCUUGCCUAUGAUGCUCCCAGCUGCACCAUGGGAGCAGAUUAUCCUAAAUUGAACUUGUAAUUGUUCGUUAGGUUUCUUAUGGUCUCUAUCAGUUGCAAUAUUUUCAGAAUAUGUGGGUAGCAGGGAACACAAAUGAGGGAAGAAUUCUGCAUGUGGAUCACCAGAGGAACCACUUCUUCUUCUCCUAACAGCUUCAAGGCUUAAAUCCACUUCAUCCUUCUCAUAUGGACGACAAUCUUGAAGGCAGCUAGUUACAGCAAUCACAGCUUUCUUUACAGCCACAGUGCUAGUCCCUGUAAUCUUUUUUUUUUUUUUUGGUUUCAUACACCAAUUUUUUUCAAAUUUCAUUUCAGAUGAUAUAAAAGAUUUUAUUUUACUUAAACUAUGAUUUAAGACAUUAUUAAAUAUAUCAAAAUGUGUAUUACUUUCUCCUACAAAAACAUAAAAUCUAUCAUGAAUUAUUAUACGAGAAAUAUGUAGCAAAAAAAAGGAAGAAAAAAACCUGAAUUAAUUGAUCUUCCUUUAACGCGCAAAGUGGGGCCGGGAGAAUCCAGAUAUGGGCCCCACUAGCUCUCUUCAUUCUCUUGAUAUUCCUGCCUUCACUACCCACAACGGCACCAAUCUGCGACGUAUUGGCCAAAAUUCCACAAUACCCCUCGCAAUCACCGCCAUCUUUCACCGCAUCCACCUCCCACAUCCUCUCCAAAACCCUAACCACCGCUUCCUGCGCUGCAGACACUUCCACCGUCUCAUCUUCACCCACCUCGAUUUUCCUCUCUGGGGAUGCGGACCCCGCCACCACGAUCGCCCAGUGCUCCGACCCCUUCACGGCCUCCUCGCAGUGAACAAGGCAACCGGUUUCAAGCCGGAUUUGGGAUAUUACGGAUCCGGAGUGGCCGAUGAGAGCACCGAUUUUCGAAGCAUGGCAGACUACUCGGAAUGCAACCUGACCCGGUUGGAGCUCGAUCAACGGCUGUCGUGGAGGGCGCUUGUGACGGUGAUGCUUCUGGUGGUGCUGCAUUGAGUGGAGAAAUGGAAAAGGAGGGAAUUUUUUUAGACUGUACCAACUAUUUUUACCUUUCCUUCCACUAGAAAAGAGGAUGAAGACAAUAAAACGAAAGAAGAGGGUGGGAAAAAAAAUGGAAUGAGGGUGAGCGUGUGAGUGUGAGUGUGAGCGUGUGUAGGAGUGAAUAAAAGAUUUAUGGGCCACCCAGCGCGAUGAGUGAGUGAACCGGGCCUAGGAGACGACCCGGGUAAUCAGGUUUAUUAUCAGGUCAUUGGUGUGUGUGUGUAUAUCCCAUUAAAAAAUCUUUUGAAUACAAAAAAAUACAUAGGCAUUACAAAAGAAUUUUAACAAUAAAUUCAAAACAUGUCGUAUACAUGAUAAUAUAAUGUUUGGAAACGCGAUGCAAGUUACAUUUCAUAAAAAUUUUAAAAUUUUAUUUGCUAAAAAUUAAUUAUUUUAUGUGUUUUGAAUUGUUUUGAUGCAUUGAUUUCAAAAAUAAUUUUAAAAAAUAAAAAAUAUAUAUUUUAAUAUAUUUCAACAUAAAAAACACUUUAAAAAUUAACUAUAAUCUCACCUCAGAUUCAAGAGUUCAUUUUUUUAACGGUAAUUAUAUUAUCAGUUUUAAGUCCUGUAAAGCAAUGAUGGUAGGGUUAAAUAUAUUUUAUUAACGUAAAAAUAUGUAAUAAAUUAAAUGCUGCUGAAAUUUGAAAUUUUGGGAAUGAACCAUUGGCUGCAUCGCAUCUCUAGAUGCACUUGUCUUGGAAAGUAGCUUCGAGUGUAUUUAGUAUUGUGGUAGAUGUUAUGGCUAUGAUUUAAAAAAAGUUGUUUUAUAAAAAAUAAUUUUAGUUGAGAUUGGUUUGAAAAAAUAUAUGUUUUUUAUAAUUAUGGUCGAAAUUGACGUUAAAAAAAAAAUAAUUUAAUGUGUUUGAUUAAGAAUGCUUUUGAAAUUGAGGUUAUAAAAUAAUUUAAAUAUAUAUAUAUAUAUAUUAAUAUUGAUGAUUUUUAAUUUAAAUAUUGUGGAUUUAACUACUGUUAUUAUAUCAUGAAAUAAAUCAUACUUUAUAUAAAACAUUUUUUUUAUUAUUCCAUGAAACCAUCUACAAUUCCAUUAAAUACGAAAUACAUCCGACAAGAACUACAAUUUUCAUAAUUUUUUGAGCAUGUAAUAAAAUUAGAUAAAAUAUUAUCAGGUAUAAAAUUGAUACUACAAUACGGGUGAAUUUAAUUCACUCUAUACUAGUUUUUUUUUAAUAUAUUAAAAAAAUUAACACACUAAAAAAAAAAAUUUCUUAGGUCCCAUGAUCAAAACACAGCUGGUGAAGAUAACCAAACAUUAUGUUAUUGAGUUAACGCAUUUAUCAACUUAUCGUAACAUUGUUCAAGAUGUGUUGUUUUUAUUUUUAAUUGGUUUUUAUUUAAAAAUAUAUUAAAAUAUUAUUUUUAACAUAAUUUUUAAAAAAAUUAAUAGUUUUUUAUUUUUAUUUUAAAUUAAUAAUUUUUAUAUUAUUUUGAUAUACUGAUGUUAAAAAUAAUUUUUAAAAAGUAAAAAAAUAUUAUUUUAAUAUAUUUAUAAAUAAAAAAUACUUUAAAAAAUAAUUAUACCAUCACUUUUUUUUUAGCAUAAGAAAACAAGAAACUUGCUCCAAGAAGGUUUAUACUUUAUACCAAUAAUAUAGCAUGCUAAUUUGAUGAAAUAAAUGCAUGAUUGAUGGAGCAACUAAUAAAUGGAGUAAAUUGAUAUGGCCAUUUCGCAGACAGGACAUAUAUACAUGCACAUGCAAAGAUCAUUUGCAAGGGCAGAAGCAAGAAGGACAUCGUGUGUCUUUGUCUACAUUGUUUAGUCUUGAUUUGUCGAGGCAGUUACAUAAGCUUACAAGUGGCAUUUUCUCCCUAUUUUCCAGUGCUUCCUAAUCUUUUUAUUGUUUCAUAUCAGUUGUUUUGCUUUAUAUAUAUAUAUAUAUAUAUAUGGAAAAGGCGAGUUCAAUAAGAUGUGAGAAAUAAAAACAUCACAAAGCUUUCCGACCAUACAUAAACCGAACACUAGCUCCCUAUAUAAGAUAAAAGAAUAAAGCGAGAAACAUGUGUGGAAGAAGAAUUACAUCAUGGUCUUAUAUAUAUUACAAUCCCUGAUUUAAAAAUCCAUAUCAUUAAGAAUGCAAUGAAUGCUAAGAUAUAAACUUAAUUCCUAGAAUAUCUGUUAUAGAUAUGAUCACAAUUAUUUUCAGUAUCAGUAAUCUCUUAUGCAGAUAUGAUCAGAAAUUACGAUUAUCUUCAGUAUUAGUGAUCAUUGAUCAUGAUCUUUUCAGUAUUAGAGAUCCUUGAUUAUGAUAGUAAUCCUUAAUCAUGAUUAUUUUCAGUAUCAAUAUUAUUUUUAGUAUCAAUAAUCACUUAUCAUGAUUAUCUUCAGUAUCAGUAAUCUCUUGUGUAGAUAUGAUCAGAGAUCAUGAUUAUCUUCAGUAUCAGUGAUCCCUAAUCAUGAUAGUAAUCCAUAAUCAUGUUUAUCUUUGGUAUCAGUAUUAUCUUCAGUAGAUUUGAUAAUAUAUUUAACACGUCCCCGUAAUUUGAAUAGGGGAGGUUACGAACGUUGAGAUUGGAGCUCAAAAGAUUGAACCGUGCAGCAGAGAGUGGUUUUGUAAGGAGAUCGGCUAGUUGAUCACGACUAGACAAAAAAUUGACAGUCAUUUUUUUUUAGAAACAAGAUCUCUGACGAAGUGAAAAUCAAUCUCGAUUUGUUUUGUGCGUGCAUGAAACACUGGAUUGGAGGAUAGAUACAUGGCACCAAUAUUAUCACACCAAAGAGUGAAAGAGUGGAACUUUGAGAUAGGUGUAAACCAAGUUCUGCAACUAAAAAUUGUAAUCAUUGGAGUUUAGUUGCAGUGUCUGCGAGAGCCUUGUAUUCAGCCUCAGUACUGCUACGAGCUACUAUAGCAUGUUGUUUGCUACACCAAGAAAUUAAAUUUGAGCCAAGAAACACACGGUAGGCACCAACAAAUCGACAAUCAUUUGUACCCCCUGUCCAAUAUGCAUCAGAGAAGGCCUGAAAUGUGAAGGAGCUGCUACAAGACAAUAGUAAACAGUAGGAGAUGGAGUGUUUGAGAUAGCGUUGAAUUCUCUUUACACAUCCAAUGGGACUGUUUCGGUUGAUGCAUAAAUUUGCUAACACGAUGAACGGCGAAAGCAAUUUCAAGUCGAGUGAAUAAGAGAUAAUAAAGGCCACCAACAAUGCUUCUGUACAGGGUAGGAUCAUCAAAUUGUGCAGUAUCUCUUGUGUAGAUAUGAUUAGAGAUCACAAUUAUUUUUAGUAUCAGUAAUCCCUGAUCAUGAUCUUUUUAGUAUCAGAAACCCCUGAUUAUGAUAGCAAUCCCUGAUCAUGAUUAUCUUCAAUGUCAAUAUUAUCUUCAGUAGAUAUGAUAUUAUUUUUAGUAUCAAUAAUCACUGAUCAUGAUUAUUUUCAGUAUUAGUAAUAAUUUCUUGUGUAGAUAUAAUUAGAGAUUAUGAUAAUCUUCAAUAUCAGUGAUUCAUGAUCAUGAUAGUAAUCUCUGAUCAUGUUUAUUUUCAGUAUCAGUAGUAUUAUCUUAGAAUUGAUAAUAAUCAACCCUUUUGAUAAUGAAGAAUCCCCUUGGCAAAAUACAACUCACCCUGACCUUAUCAAUAACUAUCCCCGUCAUCAUCUCCAGUUGUCCUCCCCAAAAUAUGAUGAAGAAAUUAGAGAGAGGAAAAAACAUGGAUUUCUUUUUAAAAAGCAAAAAAAAAAAUUCACUAUUAGGCUUGAACCGAACAACUAGAAUAGAACCAAAAACGUUUUUUGUGAAAUUUGAGCGAAAUUACCGACACAAGUCAAGAUUCCAUGUGAAAUCAAAAAGUCCAGUAAAGGUUUUUCUAUAUAAAUAAUUAUUUAUAAGGGUUUUAUAUCUCCAGAAUCUCUCCCCCCCGAAACAAGGAAGAAUUUUACCAGUCAAGACAAUCCAAAAUCUCCCUGCCUUGAACCAUGUCUUUCAUUGAAAUUAGAAAUUAAAGCAAUAAUCUUAAUUUCAUUUAAAUAAUUUUGAUGGAGUUCAUGCUCUUGGCCUUUGCCCUAGUUUAUUCCCACAGAUAUGCAGAUAUGGAAAAAUAUGGAAAAAGUUUCAUUUGUCUCUCACUUGAGCACACAACAGAUUCCUUCUCCAUCUCACCGAUGAAUCAAGCAUCCCAAGUCAUAUUUUCUUACUUGAGUUUUUAUACAAAUCAUCAUCUUCACAGCCUAAAGCACGUUGACUACAAGAAGAAUCCUUCCAUAUUAACACGUAAAUAUUACAGCGUACCAUUUCAAAUUGACAAGCACGCAGGAGUGUGACAAAAGCCAUAUAUCUAUGUUAAUCAGCUAAAAUCUCAUUUCCUAGUGUUAAAAUUUCUUAUGGAACAUAAUCAGGAGAUUCAGGACAAGUGGUCUCCAUCAAAACCCUCCUCCCCACAGGAACUCCCUCGUGCCUGAUGAAGCACCUCCCUCGGUACCCUUUCAAGUUCUGAAACCUUGACAGAGGAGGUUGAGAUGCUUUCAUUGUCUGUGCUGUAUGUUGUCCGCCCCCUAUGCAAUUUCCGUGACCACAUGACAACAAACCUUUUGGGCUGAACUACAUAUAAAACUGCAAACAAGGGAAGAGAAAAUCUUCCCCUUGCUGCAAGUUUAGUAAAGGAGGAUCACGUACUUGAUCCACUCUUUCUUCCAAACCUGUUCCCUGAUUGGAAUCGAGACAUUCGCCGGCUGACUGGUCCAGCUGAUUGAUGCAACAUAGUGCUCUCCCCCGCACUUCUAUAGGGGCUCCCCGCCCUCAAUCCACUGAGCAUCUUGGUGGGCAAAAGAUUAUCCCUCAGUUUACAGGUAACUUGAAAGAGAGCAUUCUGUACAUUUUUGUGCUCGCCAGUAAUCUGCAAAACAUGUAACAGUUUGGGAAUAAAUCGCAGAAAAAUACUUUACCAGUAUCUAUCUAUAGUUCUAUACCAGUUUUUAUCCUGGAUAAUCAAGAUAAAUACUUGACUUUGAACGCAUCAGGCAAUAUCAAAGAACAAAAGGCAACCGAUAAGUAACAGAAUUGGUACAUUUAAAAUAUUGCAUAUCUACACAACAAACAACAAAACAUCAAAAUUUUAUAUAAUAAGAUAAAUAAAAAAAAACAUCCAAAUACAAUCGAUGCCAGAGAACUGGUAGAGCUUUGAAAAUGUUACAAGAAGAGGUGAAAUUUGCUAACCAAACUAGAUGGUGACAACGACAAGUGAUGAAGUGUUGAUUGUUUUUGGAAGGAGAGGAGCAGAUAACGAUACAAGCACAAAUCACGGCAGCACCAAAAAUCACAUUAAGCAAUGAUUAUUAGACUCAAUGACAUACUUCAACCCAGUUUAUGUUGUAUACUAAAAUCCUUUUAAUGUCACAAUAACUUGACAGCAAAUAAAAAAAAAGACAUAAAAAUUGCACCUGCACUACUGCAUCAUUCUUUGAAGCGAAAUCAAAGAUUCGGUCCCCUUGCAAUCUGUAUAUCAGCACCAGUUGUUUCUAUCAUUUCUGAAUCUACCCUACCUCCUCUUCCAAUCAAACAAGAGACCCUAUUUGAUGGCAGCAGAGGGUUGCUGUCACGGUAAUUUCCUCAAUCAAGCCCAAGGAACGAGCUCUUUCAAUGUCAUGCUCAAUAGAUCUAGCAAAGACAAGAAGAAGUGCAUUCUGUGCAGGAGAGUGGGAUGAUUCAAGGUUCUCCAAUGCAGAAACAGUAACUAGACGGUCAUCGGAGUUGGUUAUAGGAGGAGCAAAACUGAUAGAAGCACCAGUUUGAUUUUGCAGAGCUCUGACUACAGACCCUCCCGUGCCUAUGAUUCUCCCAGCUGCACCAUGGGAGCAGAUCAUCCUAAAUUGAACUUGUGAUUGUUCAUUAGGUUUCUUAUUGUCUCCAUCAGUUGCAAUAUUUUCAGAAUAUGUGGGUAGCAGGGAACACAUUGGUUCACCAGAGGAACCACUUCUUCUUCUCCUACCAGCUCCAAGGCUUAAAUCCACCUCAUCCUUCUCGUAUGGAGUACAAUCUUGAAGACCGCUAGUUACAUCAAGCACUGCUUUCUUUAUGGCCACAGUUCUACUCCCUGUAAUCUUUUUUUUUUUUUUUUUUCAUACACCAAUUUUUUCAAAUUUCAUUUCAGAUAAUUUAAAACUGCAAACAAGUGAAGAGAAAAUCUUCACCUGUGGCAACUGCAGCAAUGAGGAAGGAGUAUCUCGUACUUGAUCCAAUCUUUUUUCAAAGCUUGUUUCCUGAUUGGAAUCUAGAGAUUCACCAGCUGAUUGAUGCAACAUGGAGAUCUCCCCCGCUCUUCUAUAGGGGCUCCCUGUCCUCAAUCCAUUGAGCAUCUCGGUAGGCAAAAGAUUUCCCUCAGUUUACAGGUAACUUGAAACAGAGCAUUCUGUACAUUUUUCUCCUCGCCUGUAAUCUGCAAAACAUAUGACAGUUUAGGAAUAAAUCGCUAGGUAGGUGGCACCAAAGAUUUUAACCAGGUAGGUACGGGACUGGAAUUCAAAAAAAAAAAAGAAGACAUAAAUCUUCAAUAGAAGCACCAAAUGCUUUACCAUGUUGGCUGAUCACACUCCAUUACAAGGUAUAAACAUUCCAGUAUCUAUCUAUAGUUCUAUACUAGUUUUUAUCCUGGAUGAUCAAGAAAAAUCCUCUACUUUGAAAGCAUCAGGCAAUAUCAAAGAACAAAAGGCAACUGAUAAGUGACAGAACUCUUGGCACAUUUAAAAUAUUGCAUAUCUACACAACAAACAGCAAAUACAUCAAAAUUUUAUAUAAUAAGAUAAAUGGAAAACAAGUACAAAUACAACUGAAGUGCAGAGAACUGGUAGUGCUUUGAAAAUGUUACAAGAAGAGGUGAAAUUUGCUAACCAAACUAGAUGAUGACAACGACAGGUGAUGAAGAAGUGUUGAUUGUUCUUGCAGGGAGAGGAGCAGAUAACUGAUUACAAGCACAAAUCACGGCAGCACCAAAUAUCACAUUAAGCAAUGAUUAUUAGACUCAAUGACAUACUUCAACCCAGUUUAUGUUGUAUACUAAAAUCCUUUUAAUGUCACAAUAACUUGACAGCAAAUACAAAAAAGUAAGACAUAAAAAUUGCACCUGCACUACUGCAUCAUUCUUUGAAGCGAAAUCAAAGAUUCGGUCCCCUUGCAAAAUCUGUAUGUCAGCACCAGUUGUUUCUAUCAUUUCUGAAUCUACCCUACCUCCUCUUCCAAUCAAACAAGAGACCCUAUUUGAUGGCAGCAUGAGGGUUGCUGUCACGGUAAUUUCCUCAAUCAAGCCCAAGGAACGAGCUCUUUCAAUGUCAUGCUCAAUAGAUCUAGCAAAGACAAGAAGAAGUGCAUUCUGUGCAGGAGAGUGGGAUGAUUCAAGGUUCUCCAAUGCAGAAACAGUAACUAGACGGUCAUCGGAGUUGGUUAUAGGAGGAGCAAAACUGAUAGAAGCACCAGUUUGAUUUUGCAGAGCUCUGACUAUGGAUCCUCCCGUGCCUAUGAUGCUCCCGGCUGCACCAUGGGAGCAGAUCAUCCUAAAUUGAACUCGUGAUUGUUCAUUAGGUUUCUUAUUGUCUCCAUCAGUUGCAAUAUUUUCAGAAUAUGUGGGUAGCAGGGAACACAUUGGUUCACCAGAGGAACCACUUCUUCUUCUCCUAACAGCUCCAAGGCUUAAAUCCACCUCAUCCUUCUCGUAUGGAGGACAAUCUUG
rnacentral:lncRNA from 1 species